rnacentral:rRNA from 1 species
CAGUGUACCCGCGGCAAGACGGAAAGACCCCGUGAACCUUUACUAUAGCUUGACACUGAACAUUGAGCCUUGAUGUGUAGGAUAGGUGGGAGGCUUUGAAGUGUGGACGCCAGUCUGCAUGGAGCCGACCUUGAAAUACCACCCUUUAAUGUUUGAUGUUCUAACGUUGGCCCCUGAUCGGGGUUGCGGACAGUGUCUGGUGGGUAGUUUGACUGGGGCGGUCUCCUCCUAAAGAGUAACGGAGGAGCACGAAGG